GUGAUAAGCUUAGGCUAAGAUGGUGGGAUUGUUGGUAGCUUUGGGAUUCAAGGCAAUAUAGGAGGAAGUGGUGGAAUUGGUACGCUGGGAAGUGGUGGAAGAAUGGGGGUAGGGUUAGGAAGUGGUGGAAUUGGUACUGGUACUCUAGGAAGUGGUGGAAGACUGGGGGUAAGGUUAGGAAGUGGUGGAAUUGGUAAUCUGGGAAGUGGUGGAAUUGGGAAUCCAGGAAGUGGUGGAAGAAUGGGGGGAAGUGGUGGAAUUGGUGGAAUUGGUGGAAUUGGUGGAAUAGUUACUUGCUGAAGAUUUCGAGCUGCUAGGCUAACCUCCAUGCUUGAAAAACCCAACAAAAUGAAACAAGCUAAUAAAAUGAAAACGUUGGAACCUGCCAUUUUUUUUGGAGAGAUGAACUAAAGAUUGAAGAUUUGAGUUGAGGUUUGCAUUGAGGAAAGCAGGAUUGCUUUUCAGGUAUUUAUAGCCACAUUUGAAAGACUUAAUUAAUUAUUUGUUUGAGAUAUUAUUCCCCUACUUAGCAUACUACCUUUUCUCACCCAUCUGUCAUCACCAACAAAAAGAAGAAGAAGAUAAAUUAGACUCAUCCUUAAACUUAAAAAUAUUCUGAAUGAGUCGAUUUGUCUAAUGUUAGUUAAAAAUUAAAUGCUUUUAAAUUUUGUGUGAACUAUAUCUUUCUAUUUCCAUUUACCUAAUGCCAGUUAAAAAAUAAAUAUUUUUUUAUAUAAUGAGUGUAUAUUUGACUUACGUAUGUGGCGCUCUAUUAAAAAAAAAAUUAAAUUAGGUGGAUCAAAUUUAAAUAUUAGAUAACUAUACAUGUUGGUACUUAAACUUGGUAUUUAAGAUUUUUUGUUGUCCAAUUAAAGGUUGAAUUUAAAUUAGAUAGUUGAACUUGAUUUCUUAGUUCAAAUUCCAAGCUUAGAUACCAAAAUGUUUGGUAUAAUAUUAAAUUAAAAAAAUUCAAGAUGUAAAAUACUAAUUUAACAUUUAAACUAGUUGCCCCAUACAGCUACAAUGGUAAUGAUAGAAGAAAAGUAAUUGAAUGGGAUUAGGAGAUGAAGAUCCUAGUAAAGCCACCUCUAGAGGUAUGAGAGUUGCGACCACUCUAUAAUUGAAUGCUACAAAAAUGGUUAUAUCUAGGAAUCUUUCGCCAUUAGCUAAUAAUGGAAAUAGCUAUGUAUCACUUAAAAAACAACAAUUCAUAUUUUCUUGAAAUAUAUUCAAAAAAUUGAAAAAUAUAAAAAAUAUCAUUUUUCUAAAAAUCCAAAAAUUUUAUGUGAAUAUCAACAAAUUCAGAAACUAAAAGAUAUGGAAAGCUUUAAAGUUUUUCCAAAAAGAUAGAAAUUUGCAGAAAAUUAGGUAUUUAAGAUUCCAAUAUUUUUAUUUCCCUUCUUUCCUGAUUGGAGAAAAUAUGAAUUAGGUGACGCCAUCGUUAACAAUUGGGGCAAGGUAAGACACGGUUGGAAACUUCAAGUAGGUGUAAUUUUGGGGAAAUAUUACAUUGUUUAAUAAUGAAUAUUGACAUGAUUUACCCUGAGUUAAAUCAAUUAUAUUUUACUUAUAUUUUCUAUACAAAUUUUAUACAAGCCUAAAUUAAUCAUAUUCAAUCAUAUCAAUCUCAAUAUUUUGAAUAAGAUAAUAAUAUUUUCUUAAAACUAUAACUAUAUAAAGUAUUGUAAAAAUAAUUAUUCAAUUAUACAGCUAUUUUAUUUGUAUAAUUAUAAUUAACAUAACCUUCUCCAUCAUAUAAUUAAAAUUUGUUCAACUUAUAAUUACAACAACUUUCCGUGAAGAAAAGAGAGAGACACAAAUACAAACUAAUGAGAUUAAAUAAAUCUCAAAUAUAAAAUAUUCUUCAAUAAACAUCAUUAAUCAAUCUCAAAAGAAACAAGAAAAGAAAUUCAUAAAUUAAACAAUAAGAAUAUAAUAUAACAAUCCAUUAUUUAAUAAAUUCAAAAAAAAAAAUCACAUUUAUAUUUUAAAUUUUAUUGGUCUAAUUUUAGAUAGGUUUAUAAACUUCAAAUGAUUUAAAAUAUUAGUGUCACGCCCCUAAAUAUAGGAAGGUUCAUUGAAAUGAAUAAAUAAGAAAUGUGUUGACACCAUUUUUUUGAUGAAAACGGGGUUGACUUGGAUUUUGAAAAUGAAAAUUAAAAUGACAGUCGCCACCAAUCCUUUUUGAUAAGGUGUGAUCGGAUCACCUUGAAAAGUGGUUGUUUUUAAUAAACGAUUUAAUUUUAUUAAAACAACGAGUUUGGUCCACGAAAUUCAGAAAAAUGGGUUCGGGAGUCGGUUACGUACGAGGAAGGAUUAGCGCCCUCGUGACGCCCAAAAAUUGGUACCUAGUUGAUUAGUUAAUGUCUUAAUGUCAAAAAUUGUAAACUUUGAAGAAUUUUAAAAAUACGAUCCUUAAUUUUUUUAAAAAGAAAACUUAUAUAAAUCAAGUUACUCGUUAAGACCCUCCCAUUUCAGAAAGAGAAAACGUCACGCCCAAUGCGUUAGGGCACGAUAUUUUACCUCUUCAGAAAUGAGCUUGUCUAAAAACUUACACAAUAAAAUUUUAAAGGGCAUUCAAUUGUUUAAGUCAUGUGAAAAAUUGCAACCCAAUACAUUAGGGCACAAUUUCUCAAAAUAUUAAACAUUGAAUAUUGCAUUUAUUUUGAAAAAUCCUCAUAUCCAAUGCGUUACGGCACAACGUACUGAAUUCUCGAUAAUGAGCUAUUUAUUUAUGUUUUUGUUUUAAAGAGCACCCUCGAUUAUUUAGAUCCAACGAAGAAAAUUGGAACCAAUACGUUAGGGUUCAAUUCUCUCGAAGAUCCCAAAUACCGAGUAUUACUUUUAUUUUGAAAUUUUCCGUUUUUGAUAAAUCCGAGUAAAAAUGGAUGCAAAAUAAUGAUAAUGAUGAUAAUGUAAGUAAAAUAACACGAGCAAAACAAAAUAUAAAUAAAUAAUAAGACUAAUAUAAAUACAAUCGUGCAGGCGCAAUAACAAAUAAGAAACAGAUAAAAACUAAAGCAAGAAAAAUAAUAAUAACAUACAUGUAAAUAAAUAACUGAACAAAAUUAACAAAAUUAAAAAAAAUAUAAAAGAUAUAUUUAUACAUAUAUAUGUAUAAAAUUAUGAAAAUAUUAAAAACAUAUGCAUGUACACAUUUUUGAAGCUAUUAUACAUGAAAAUAUAUGUAAGUAUAUAUGCACAUACAUGAAUACGUAUAGAACCAUCAUCAAAUAUAUAAAAGUAUAUAUAUAUAUAUGUAGGUAUAUAUGAAUCACAAAAUUUAAAGAAUAAUAUAUAUAAGAUAUAUAUUUUGGAAGUAUAAAGAAUAUGUAAGAAUUUAUAUAUACAUACAUUUAUAUAUGAAAAUGAAAUAUAUAGAUAUGUAUGUGGGUAUGUAUAAAUAUUAUAAAAUAUAAAAACAUAUAUGUGUACGCAUAUAUAUAAAAAUAUACAUAUGUAUAUAUACAUAUAUAUUAUGAAAAUAAAGCUAAAAAAAAACUAGUUAGUGUAUUAACAUAAUUGUAACGACUAAAUAAAGGAAAAUAAUAAUAAUAAUAAUAAUAAUAAUAAUAAUAACAUUAAAAUAAUUAACUAAAUAAUAAAAAUUGCUAAAAAAAGAUUAAAUCGAAAUAAAAACGAAAAUACUGGGCAAAUUCGAAAUAAAAAAAACGAAAAGGAUUAAAUUGCUACACGCAUCGAAAGAGGGAGACCAAAACGAUAAAUAAACCAAAGCCCCAAAACGCAGCGCUGCAACGGACUAAAAUGAAACAAAAGGAAAACUAUGUGGCUAAAUUAAAAUAAAAGAAAAUAAUGAAAAAGGGCCAAAUUGCAACUCGUUGCAAAGUCGGAGUGACUACGCGCGCAAAUAUCCCCUUUUAAGAAAACACGCGGAUCCUCCCCCAGGGUCGGGUCACCGAGCGGGUCAGGGCCAAAAUGGCGUCGUUUUGGCACCUGACCCUAAUGACAAAACGGCGCCAUUUCGUUUAGGGUAUUUAAACCUAAUUUUUCCCAAAAAACCUAAUUUCAGCCACCAUUUAAAAAAAAUAAAAAACUUUCUUUUUCUUUCAAAAAUCUGACUUUUGGGGUAAAAUUUUUUACUUUCUCUUGAUAUUUUGCGCGAAUAUGAAUUGUUUUUUUUUAAAAAAAUAUGUAUAAAAAUAAAAAUGAACGGGUAUAAAAAAGAAAAGAGAUGCGAAACUAAAAUCACAUUGGAGUGAAUCUGUUUGUUUUUUUUAAAUCUGUUUUUGUAUUAUUUAAAAGUGUUCUUACAAAAAAUCUAAAAAGGAACCCCCUAAAUUACAGAAAAAUUUGGCUUUUAUAGCCGAUUCUCCCCCCUCAUUCUUUGCUCUGUUGCUUUUCUAUUGCUUGCAGGGACUUGACGCGGUGCAUGUGGGGUGUCGGUGGCAAGUGGGGUGAUGGAACAUCCGACGGUGGCCGUGGCUGCUGGUGAUGCGACUGGUGUGCGGCGGCCAAGAGCUAGGGUUUCAGAAAAGCUGAAACCCUAGUUUGACUGUUGGGGUUGGGAUUUUGGGCCAAUUGGGUUAUUGGGCCUCGAGUUUGGGUUUGUAAUUGGGUUAAUUUAUUUUUUUUGGGUUUUAUGUUUGGGUUUAUUGAAUAUUGGGCUGAGGGUUAGUGGGUUAGGCCUAGGUGGGUUGGUUUGGGUUUUGGGCCCCGGGCUAAAAUUGGGCUUGUACAAAAUGAAUUAGGUUUAAUGGCUAAGUGUUAAAGAAUUCACCUUAGAGACUUAAGUUCGAGUUCCCUUCCUUCCUUUUUAUUUUUGGUAACUUGGUUUUAGGGUAAAGUCACACUCAAAAUAUAUACGACUAGGAAUUAAGAAUAAAUAAGAAAUGGGCAAUAGGUCCAAUGGUUAAGUGUUAAUCCCCUAUCUUAGAGAUCUUAGGUGUAAGUUUCCUUUUUCCCCUCCCAUUUUUCUUUUGGAUUUCGACAAUAAGGGGAAAUUUGCUGUGCCACCCCUAGGGUUUUCAAACCCGAGCUAUUUAAUCAUUCUUUUCCCAUUUGGAUUAGUUUUGCUUCUUUUCAAAUUCUUGUAAAAUUUCUACUCAUAUUAUAUUUCUCUUAUAUUUAUUUUCUUUUCCUUUCUUUUCAUUGUAACACCCUAAACUCGGUCGAAUAGGUUCGACCUAAAUUUGGAGAGCUACAUUAGCCACCGAAGUGACUUUCCAUUAACUCCCAAUCUAACCUCUAACACACCACUUACUUGCAACGUAUAUUAUGAUAAGUUAUAUCAUAACAAGGGUAUAAUAUAAUACAUAUAAUGUAAAUCAUGCAAGCUUAAAACCAAUGUAACACCCCAAACCCGGCUGAGUAGGUUCGACCCAAAUUUGGCGAGUUACAUUAGCCACCGAAGUGACUCUCCAUCAAUUCCCAACCUAACCUCCAACACACCACUUACUUGCAAUGUAUGUUAUGAUAAGUUAUAGCAUAACAGUGAAAUAAUAUCACAUAUAGAAUGUAAAUCAUGCAACCUUAUCAAACAAAAUGAGGGAACGGUUCGCAUGUUAAUUACUACGUAAGGCUACGUAGUAAGGUUAUCGCACCUAAGGGUUCACAAGCAUAUAGGGGGUCACAAACAAACAAAGGUCGCAGAAAAUAACACUUCGCAAAAAAAAUUGGCUCGCGUAUGAUGUUAAUACAUAUUUUGGAAAAAUUGAAAGAAUGCGACAUGGUACUCAUGCUAGGAGAAUUAAAGAAACAUCAAAGUAUAUUCAUGCAGAGAAGAAAUUAGUAAUAAAGGUUUAACUUCAUGGUUCGCAAAAUAUUAAAAGAAUAAACUUAAACUUUAGGGAAAUCGUUUCAUUAACAGAAUCAUAUAAUGAUAAAUCUAAACCUAUAUAAAUAAAACCCCAUCACCUAUUUCCCUAGGUUCGCAUUAUUUGUUCAGAGAUAGCCUCGCUAUUGCCAUUGGCGACUUACUUACCUGCAAAGUAAGAGAAGAGUGGGUGAGUUCAUUGCGAACUCGGUGAAUAAUCCGGAAUCAUCAACGUAUGAUUAAAAUACAGAGUUUAAAAUAGAAAGAAGACUUAGUAUGAAAAACUAUUGUAUCGCGUGUUGGGUUCGCAGUGAAUGCUAGGUUCGCAGUGAAUGUGCGAGACCCAGUUUAUAGAACCUGCUUGUCAUAAAAUCAUAUAAGUUUGAAAAUAGUUUUGCAUGUACUUACUGAAAAUCAUACUUAAAAACUUAGCUUGUUCUUGUUUGAAAAUGGAUCUUUUAUAGAAUGAAACAUGCUCACAUACUUAUCUUAUCGGAAUGGCUGAGGAAUAUAAAAUAUGUUCUUGCACUUUUCUUAACUUACUUAUAUUAUCUUGUCUUAUUUUGUUGGAUAUGUGGAUCUCUUUAUAACGCCUCAGAAUGACUCAAAGAGUCCUUAAGAUGUCCCAUAAGUGUAACAUAAGCUAAACACUCUCUUGUACACCAACAUGUCCUAUUGAAUGGAGCAUAGCUUGGCGUUCCCUUAUCUCUCCACAUGUCCCAAAGCCUCAAUGCCCAAAUCACAAAACUUAUUGGUGAGUACUCACAAUCCUUUGGUAUACAAAUAUAUCCAAUAUAUAAGCUCACAAAGGCACUCGUAUAGAAACUUAGCACAUAGAGCUAGAAAAAACAUAGCUUAUAGAACUGUAUUUUUAAAACAUGCUUUAAAACAUAGGCUUGCAUAGGAGCAUGCGUAACACAUAUCUUUAAAACAUAGCUUAAAACAUAUCUUGAAAACAAAUUAUCAGAACUUUUAAAAACAUAGUUUUAUAGGAAAAAAAACUUACUCUUGGAACUUAGUUUUUAAAAAAAAAAGAUUCUUAGAAAACAUAACAGUUCACACACAAGUUACGAAACCUGAGCAUUCAUACUAAAAAACAUGAUAGUUACCACACUUAUGGCAAUUCUUAACCACUCAUCGAUAAAACUGAAAAUUUAAAUGAGUUUUGCCUUGCCUUUAUCCUUGCUGUAGAUAGUCUGGUUGGUUCGUAACAUGCAUAAACACACAAAUUACUUCAAUAGACAAAACUUACGAACUUCACACAUGCAAGCGAACCUAGCUUUCUGGACAAUAAACCCUAAUAGGAAAAAUGCUUACCUUGGUUGCUACGAAUUUGGUUCAGAACAAAGACUUGACAACAAAAUAACGAUGAAAGAAUUUUUCCUAGAAUAAGGAUUGUAUUUAUAGGCACUAAGUAUCUUAGUGACCUUAGGAUACCCUAUUUGACUUAGGAACCCUCUACGGUUUAAAAGAAGGUUACGUGCACGAAAAGUAUCCUAGAUACACAAUAUAUUUAUUUCCUAAGUUUAGUCUAACUUGACUUUUGAUUGGCGAACCCCUAGUUUGUAACUCAAUUGUUGAACCCCAGCUCACUAAACAGAUUGGAGAACACAACUUUCAAUGAAUCUAGCGAACCUCUUACCACAUCAUUUGGCGUGCAGCAGUUUGCUAGAACACUGGCAAACUCCUUACUGGUAUCCCCUUUGGUGAACCCUAGUUUGCUGAAACACUAGUGAACCCUCACUUGUAAGGUCAAAACUUCUAGAUCAGGUUUCAGGAUGUUACAAACACCAUAUUUUUAUCAUAAUUGUUGUUGAUUAUUUUUCUUUCCUGAAUCAAAUCAUCUUUCAUUAAAUUAUUUUUCUAUUAGUUUUGUAAUUGUCGUCAAUAGCACCUCUAUAUUUGCCAAGAAACAAACCGAAUUUAGGUGAAUCAGACCGAAAUAAAGUGUGAAGAACAUCAACCGGAACUGUGGUGAAAGGUGUGUGUCUUUUCCAAGUGAAUCAGUGGUGAUCUGUGUACGAUUAAGGCCACAUGGGCUAUGCGUGUGGUCCACCAACUACCACACAACCAUGUGCACUUGUAGAUUUUAGGGACUUCAUGAACCAUACGGCCUCAGCCAGUUACACGAUCGUGUCUUUCCUGCAAGGUUUAUCAUUUUCCACAUGGAAUCAUGCUGUUACAUGACCGUCUAACCCUUACACAGGGUCUUACCCUUCUCACAUGGCCUGGCCAUACAGCCGUGUGACCCUGUUUUACAGUUUUGACCAAAAAUUUAUCAUAUGUUCAAUUUAGUCCUCGUUUAUCCCUUGAAUUAUUUUAGAGUUUUCAUUCACUCAAUUAAGUCCUUGAUAUUGUGUUUAUUCUAGAAUCUGUGAUUUAAUGACUAAAUUCCUAUUUUUAUAUUGUAUGAGAUGUGAAUAUUACAUGCCUACUGUCAUUGUAAUACUGAUAAACUAUUAAUGAUAAUAUUGUUACCACCCUAUUGAGUACAUGUUAAGCAUGUCUACUGCUAAUGUUGAACUGAAUACAUGAUAAGCAUGUCUAUUAUUAUUAUUUUUUGUAUUGUUCUAUUACAAAGCAUGCCAUAUUGCAUUGCAUGGGGUGGGACGAUAUGUAUGGAGAAAGGGUGACAGUUUAAUAAUCUGCAACCCAGUGGUGGCUCGUCCACAAACCCAAUGGCAGUUUAUCUGCAAAUGUUUUAACUAAAAAUACUGGUUGUUUAUCCGCAAUUUUUACAACGAAGUGGUAGUUUAUAUACAAAUCAGUGGUGAUUUAUCCACAACUCGGUGUGUAUGGAUGGAUGAGUUCUGGGGAACUCAUAGUGUGGUGUGUAGUGAAGUUGGGUAGGACCUUUUCUGAUAAACUGAAAUUGCAUUGCCAUUCAUAAACAUGUGCAUACAAACCAUGAAUUCUAAAUAUUAUAGUGAAGUGUUGAAUUGGAAAACCGAUAUUGUGAAUUGCUAUACGAUUGUGGUUAUUCUAAGAAUUGUUAUUUCGUAUGCUUUGACCACUAUGUUACACCGAUUUUCUUGUGAUAUGACUCACAUUGAGCUUAAGUUCACCCCCUUUUAAUUUCCAUCUUUAUAGAUAACCCACCAGGUUAGGACAUAGACACAACAUCUGGAAGGUCUUGGCUCAGAUAAAUUUUUUUAUUAAAAGUAUUUUAGACUUAUUAUUAUUUCUAUUAUUUGGAAUUGUAUUGUUUUAUUCAAACUUUGGCACGAGACUUAAGUUUUGAGUUUAUUUGACAUGCAUGAAAUUUAAUUUGAAUAUUAGGAUAUUGAAACAUGGAUUUUAAACUAAUUAUGCAUGAAAUUUUGGUUUCGCCAUCAUUAAAAAUAUUUUGAAUAUCAUUUUUCCGCUACGAUAUUAUGAAAAUAAGAAUUUGAAAAAAGUAAAUGAAUUGGAAAUCAACUUUUACUAAGUAAACUUUAAAAUCCAUUGUUUUUUGGAAACUUUUAUUUUUUAGUGAAAACAUGAUUACACGCAAAGUUUUUCUUCAAUAAUAAGCAAAUGUUUUAAACAACUGUUUUAUAAAAACUCCGAUAGUUGUAGUAGGCCAUUUCGGUAGCCAAUGCAAUCUUUUGAAUUCAGUCUUAACGUUUAGGCCGAGUUGAGGAAGUUACUAUUAGCAACUUAACAUUAAUUUGAACAUUAAAUGUUGGUCCAAACUUGACACGAAAUAUAUUUAGAAUACAUAAAUCAAAAAAUUAGUAAGUUGGCUACUUGGGUUAAUUUAUUGGUUUGACACAACAUAUCCUAUAGUAAUUCAAUGGGAUUAGAACAUCCCAACUCCUAGUUGAUUUAAUUGCUAGGUUAUCUAAGUCCACGCUUGCAAUUAUUGCUUAAAGCAUUUGUUUAAUAAAAUCUUAAAUUCCAAUGGAGGUGCUUUUUCAUAAUAUGAGGUAACCUAAGAAAAAGGAAAAAGUUGAACAUAUUGUUAAGUUAAAAUUGAACAAAUUAAGGCAAAGUGUACAAAUGGAGUGUCAUCAUUCAAAUCGGUCCUUCUCUUAAUUGUCAUAAGCCAAUUAGGUAAGCCAGAUUCUUUUAAUAAAAAGUAAAGAUUUCAUGGCAUCCCUAAAGCAUUGCAAAUUUUUUGUAAGCAUUAAAAUGGCAUUAGUUGGUACAAUACUGGUAUUGAUCUGUAUAUAUUGCUUCGGUUUUGAUCAGUACCAAAUAGUUUAUAUUUCGUUCAAUCAAAAUUUUGUUAUGUUUGAUUAUUUCGGUGUGUUUCGACCUAUUUUGGUCAAUAUCGGCUUGUACUAGCUAGUAUAAAAUUUGAUAUUUUAAACUAAAUUUUAAAAUUUUUUAAUCUUAAUUAUUUUAAUUUUGGCUAAAGGGUCUUCAAAGCCCUUGAACAUUAAAAUUUCAAUCAAUUAAGCCCAUCACACAUUAAAGUUAACGAUCAACCAUGAAAGAGCAACAAUAGCCAUUAUGAGCAAUUGUUUUCACCACGUGGCAUGUUAGACUGUACCACGUGACGAAAUAUGGUGUUUUAAAUUUAAAACCAUUAAAACUAUAGAAAAUCAUAAAAUAUUAAAAAAUUACAAAAGUUAUAAAAUUAUAUAAAAAUGAACAAAAUUAUAAAAAGUAGUAUAAAUGAUACAAAAAUUAUAUAAAUUAUUAAAAAAUUGCAAAAAGAAAACAUUAAAAAUAAGCUUAAAAUAAGAAUAUAUAAAAAAAUGUAAAAAAAAAAAAUUAGAAACUAAGUUUCGGAUACACAGCUCUGGCUGUAUUUUUCAUAAAUAAAAGCUUGGUUGAGAUUUUAGAUUUGGUAUAAAUACAAUAAAUAUAAUAUUUAUAGUAGUAAACAAGUGAAUGAAAUUAAGUAAUUGUGAUUGAGAUUCACCAUGAUUAUAUUUAUAGGAAUAAAAUAUUCCUAUAUAUAAUGAAAGUGUAAUUGAAUAAUAAAAUUCAUAUUAAUACAAGUUGCUUUAAAACAAAAGUAAAUAAUUUGAUAUUGAUCUUGUGAAACAAUUGAAUUUUGGUUUUGUUAUGGGAUUAAAUUAGCAAUUAAUCCUUUUUAAGAAUUUAGAGAACGAAUUAGAUAAGUUAGACAUAAAAGUAGAAGAGUAAAAAGAAAGGAAGUAGUGGGUAGAUUAACAUAAUUAGGAGUUUAAAUGAUAUGAUAAUAAUUAAAGCUUUAAUUUAGUUAAGGUAAUUAGAAAUGUUUGAUCAUAUUUUAGAUGUUAAUUGAAAUUAAACGAGUUAAUAGGUCGAAUACAAGUUUAUAUUUUAGUUAAGAUAAUUAAGAGUUUAACUAGAAUUAAAAAAAAAUAAGAAGCACAUUGAAUCGUCGAUGAAUUGAUUUGAUUCUAAAUCCAAACUCAAGAGAGUAGGAACAUAAUCCAUUGGAAACAACACUUUUAAGUUGUUUAAAUUUUUGAGAAAGAAAAACACUUUCAACCUUUUUUUUAAUCCCCACUCUAUCCACCAACCUACUCGUUGCUUUAUAAGUCAAAAUCGGGAAAUUAAAUAUUACACUAUUACUAAUUCGGUUAAAUUGGUUAAUUCGGUCAAAUGAAUAUUAUCGAUUUUUUGAUAUGUUUUUUUACUUGUUUUAACCAAAAAAAUAAAACAUAUAAAUUUCGGUUAAUUUGAUUAACCGGCCGAAUUAAUCGAAAUAUUUCGAUUUGGUUAAUGGUUAAAGAUACUAAUUCGAUUCGGUUAACUGAUCGGUUAAUUGUUUGAGCACCCCUAAAAAUAAGUCAUGGGACCAACAUACUGACUUCCAUACAAUUGUUAGGUAUAUAUAGCAACUCAUAAGUAUGAGUAGAAUUAGUACGCAGUACCUUAGAUUCAUUGAGCCACAUUUCAAAGUUUCCCAUGAUCUCUUUUGCUGUCAAUGAUAUAAUAAACUUUUUGUAUUCACAAUUAUGUUCACAAUAUAAAACAUAAUUGGUCGACUUGAAUACAAUUAAAUGAGACACUCUAAUGUUCUUUCCUUUUCCUCAAAUCUCUCUAUUUCAAUUCAACUACUCUCUAGAUAUGUCCCGUUAGAUUGAAUCAUACAUGAUCAUCGAUAGCCUACUAAAAUAGCUAAUAUUGAUGUAAAACUUCAAGAAACAGUUAAAGGUCAUGAGGGUACUUAGUAUAGAUCUUCAGUUGAUCUCAUGGGUUUCACACAACAUAGAAGCAGAGAUCAAAUCUUCUAUUACCCAUUUUGUUCGUAUAAUACACAUGUAGUAUGAAACACAUGCUAUGGUAUUACUCUCACUUUCCUUGAAGUGUAUGUCUUUAUCAAAAAAUCAAUACCACAUAGGUGAUAAUUCAAAUACACUUAGUAUCUAACUCGAGUCCACAACUUUAUUUUCUUAAUAGAUUCAACAACAAGACUUUCACCUGGAAUAAAAGACAUAUAAAGUGAAAAAUUCAUAUUUAAAUUAUCAAACAUAAAUCAAAUUGAUUAUAAUUAUAUCAUUUUGCAUAUAGCUCAUGUCGUGCAAGUGCACACUUUAGCCCCAACAAGUUUGGACCUAUGCCCUUCAUGCAUGCAAGGCAAGAUUCCAAACAUAAUCAUUCAAUCAUCAUUUAUGUGGGUUCUCAUAUAUAUACACAUCUCACACUUGGUAUUUAACCAAUGUGGGAUCUAAGCUUUUCUUUUCCUCAACAAAUAUUCACAAGUAGCUUACUUUGAGCACCAAUUUCUCAUUCAUCACUCAACCAUUUUGAGCAUAUGAUAUACUGUUGUAAAGGUCUCAUGGAGUAGAAUAUAAAAUCAUAAUUUUAUGAUUCAACUCUCAACAUUUACCAAUUAAAAAUAUGCCUCAAAGUUCCCAUAAAUUACAAAUUUUCCAACAACUUUUGAAUGCAUUAAUCAUUAUCAACAUUAACUCAAGUGAGGACAAGAAUAUAUUAUUCAACUUGCAAUCCUAGAGUUUUGACAUUCCUUUAAAAAAUCUCUAGGAAUCGGUUUUGUAAACUGAUUUGCAAUCCUCUUAUGCAUAGACUUUCUCUCUUGUUGUGAGAUUUACCUUCACACUUAUUUUUUCCAAUAUACUAACUUUAGAUAUUUGGAGUUUGGAGUUGGUCAAACAGAUGUAAAAGCUACCUUUUCCAAAUGAAAAUCUGGAAUUUACACAGACAAAGUAGAUUUCAUUGACAAAGGUGAAAUGCAUAGUCUGGGCAAGUUAUGAAGAUCAAUUUUAUGAUCUUAAGCGAUUUUCCAGAUAGUGAUAUGCUAUUUUUUUUAAUUAAGAAACUGUUUAGUUUGAUUUAAUCAUAAUUGAUAAAGACCACUUUACUCAUGUUAAAAGAAGGAAAGAAAAUUUUGUAACUAUGUCAUUUUAUGUGGGUGACAUGUUGUUGGCCGCAAAUGAAUUAGUGCUUAUCAUUAUGGGUUAUGCAAGACUACAUGUCAAUUCAUACGAAUGUGUCCUUUUUUCAAUGUUGUGAGUAGCAUCAUAUAUGUUAUGAUGUACAUAAAGCAAAGUAUCUCUUGUAUAGUUGGAUUCAAGACACUCCAAUCCAAACUCAUUGCAAAACAAUGAAAAUGAUAUUGAGGUAUUGAAAAGACACUAUGGAUUUUCACCAUGCUAUCUAAUUGUGAAUACAAAUACCUAUUAAUUAAAAGGAGAUUUAGAUGAAAUAUUGAAAUCUAUCUCCACACAUGUGUUCGUAUUUGAUAAUGGAGUGAACUCUUAAAGUAGUAAGAAAUAAACUUGUAUAGCAUGGUCUAUUAUUGAUGCUGAAAUUGGCAUUUUUAGCGAUGGUUCAAGAGAGUGUUUGGGUUAAAAUAAUCACGAUUAAUAUAGUUACGUUAAAGCAAAAUAUCUUCUAUAGUUGGAUUCAACAUAGUCCAAUCCAAACUUAUUGCAAAACAAUGAAAAUGAUUUUGAGGUCUUUUAUUGUUCUCUCUUGUAUAGUUUGCAUCUCAAGGCACUUUCUUGUUGAUUACGAUGAACAAAAAACGGUUGCAAGCUCUGGGACGAGCAAGAUCAAUAUCUUUAGAGAUCAAAUGAUGGUUAGUAUACAAAUUUAAAAACUAGUUUUUAUAAUUUCAUUUUCAUAUAGUUUUUAUUUAUUUUUUAUUAUAAAUUUUAUGCUUUUUAUAAUAUUUUAUAUGUUUUAGUAUUUUUACAAUAUUUUAAUAACUUUCUAUCUUUUUAAAUAUUUAUUACCAUUUUUAUUUUUAAUUCAAAUAAUUUAUUUUUUUCCAAUUUUCUAUAUUUUAUAAUAUUUUUAAUAAUAUUUUAUAUAUUUAAAUAUUUUUUCAUAAUUUUAAUUUUUUUAAAUUUUUCAUAAUUUAUAUGUUUUUUUAAUUUUUAUUUUAGUACUUUUUAAUGCUUUUCACAAUUUUUAAUAAUUUUUAUAAUUUAUAUUUUUUUUUCGUUUAUAAUCAUUUUUAUAAUUUAUAUAUAUAUCUGCAAUUUUAUAUAUUUUAUAAUUUUUGCAAUUUUUAUAUUUUAUAAAAUAAUUUUGUAAUACUCCAAACUCGGCCUUAACGUUAUGACCAAAUCUAGAGAUGCUAUGAAGAUACAUUAAAAAAAAUCUAGAAUCUGUUGAUUUUAUAAAAUGAUACUUGCCCUUAUUUAGUAAAAUCUGAGUUUAUUUGAGAAAUUUAUCGUUUUGAUGGGUUUGUCAAUUAUUUACUCAUAAAACUAGUCGAAUCCAAUUUGAAAACACGAUUUUUUUUGUUGUUGUAAAAUCCAUUAUUCAACAAUUCAAUUUUCAACCCACCAACGAGGAAAUCACACAGGACUUCCUGCUAACCUACCAUCUUUUUUCAAGAGUUCAAACCCAAUCCAACACCACCAACUCGACAGCACAUUAAGGGCUAACAAAAAUAAAUUAGAGACUCAAACGAUAAAUUAACAUCUUAUCGUUGAACUAGUAAACUCAUUCUAUCACAAAUUGAUCAAAAAUAGUAUUUAAGUGGUAAGGAACAAGAUAAGGAUAAAAGACAAAAAUAAUAAAAUUUCUUAAAAAUGAGAUUUGAACCCUAAUCAGUAAAACAAAUACUUAUUCAUGACAUAAAUUAACAAAUUAAAAAUUCAUAUUUUUGGGUCUUAAAAGUUUUUAAUAAAUUAUAAUUACUUGAUUCCAGUUUCUUUAUUAUGCCCAAAUUUAAGAUUAAGCCCUAUAUUUUAAUUUUGACAUAAUUUGAUUUAUUUAUUUUUAUAAUGUCAUUAGUUAUCUUAAAUCGCUAACAUUAUUAGCUAUGCCAAGUAAAAUAACAUCGCGUAUUUUUUUUCUUAAAAUCAUCACUUCUAACUAAAUAAUGGCUUAAUCACUUUUUUAACUAAUUAUACUAACAUAGAUUUUUUUUAGUUGGAACGAGUAUGUUUAAGGAAAAAUCACCUCAACACUUUACUUGAAAUUAGUAAUCACAUUAAUUAUUUGGACUAACUAAAUCAUUACUGAAUCACCUUCUAACUAAUUAUAGUAAUGUAUAUAUUUAAGAAAAAGCUCACUUUAAUGUUUUAACUGAAAUUAUUAACCGUGUUAAUUACUUAAACUAACUAAUGAAAAAUAUUUCAAAUUAAUUUAUACUGAAUAACUCUCAAAUCCAAGUAUAAUAAAAUAAUAUGACUAACUCAAACUUGGCGUUGAAUUGAGUUUGGGAGUAAAAUAAUCACAUCACUCAUUGGCAAAGCAUGACUGUGAUUAUGAUAUGGUUUUUCGAAGUAUAACUAUGGUGGAGUUGAUAGCAUUGAUUAGAAUACCUUUAUAAAUGAAUAUAUAACAUUUAAUCAUGUAUAUAUUUUUAAUAAUUUAAUAACUUAAAAAAACACCACACUUUAUUAUAUAUGUAAAAUGUAAAUAGAAGCUACAUUCUUAUUUCAUGAAAUAACAUCAUAGAGAAUGUGAUGGCAGAGUUCAUUCUCAGUAAUAUAUGUGAUACUAAUUAGGAAUCAAACUGUCUUCAAUGGCUGGAUGGAGGUGGAGGUGGAGGUGGAGACAUGAAAGGAAUGGAAGGCAAGCUGCUACUGGGAAGUGGUGGAAGAACAGUGAUAGGCUUAGGCUAAGAUGGUGGGAUUGUUGGUAGCUUCGGGAUUCAAGGCAAUGGAGGUAUGCAGGGUUGAGCUGAGAAUGAUGGUAGAUCUAGGAUUGAAGGCAAUGGAAGUAUGUUGGGCAACUUACGAAGUGGUGGUAGUUCUAAGUUCUGGGAUUGAAGGAAAUGGUGGUGGUUCUGGGAUUAAAGGAAGUGGUGACAUCGGAGGUGGCAAUGGUACCGGUAAAUAUGCAGAUGGCAAUGGUACUGGUAAAAAUGGAGGUGGCAAUGGUAUUGGCGACAAUGGAGGUAGCAAUGGUACUGGUGACAAUGGUAUUGGCGACAAUGGAGGUGGCAAUGGUAUUGGUGGAAAUGGAGGUGGCACUUGCUGAAGAUUUCGGGUUGCUAGGCUAACCUCCAUGCUUGAAAAACCCAAGGAAAUGAAGCAGGCUAAUAAAAUGAAAACGUUGGAAGCUGCCAUUUUUUUUUGGAGAGAUGAACUAAAGAUUGAAGAUUUGAGUUGAGGAAAGCAGGAUUGGUUUCGGGUAUUUAUAGCCACAUUUGAAGGAGUUUUUUAAUUAUUUGUUUGAGAUAUUACUCCCCUACUUAGCUUACUACCUUC
rnacentral:lncRNA from 1 species